GUGCUUGCUUCAGCAGCAUGUAUACUAAAACUGGAACAACACACAGAAGAUCAGCAUGGCCUCUGUGCAAGGAUGACAUGCAAAUUCAUGAAGCAUUCCAUAUAUUU
ensembl:snRNA U6 U6 spliceosomal RNA